GGGCCUCUAAUUAAAUAUAAUACUGUCUUGUCAAGCCAGAACUGUGGGUUAAACCCCCACGUGGCCUU
rnacentral:tRNA from 1 species